UACGGCUACAUCACGUUGAAACACCAGUUCUCAUACCAUCACCGAAAGUAAGCAACAUCGGGCCUGGUCAGUACUUAGAUGGGUGACCAUUUGGGAAUAUUAGGUGAUGUAAG